UAGCCCAAUAUUACAAGAGUUACCCCAAAGAGCAAGCAAAUCGGGUACAAUGGAUUUCACUGCUGUCUUAUUUAUUCACAGGACUAGCAGGGUGACUUAAGAAAUAAAUGUAAUAGUCAGAACAGCACUGCCGAAGCGGUCUAUCAUAAUUGCAUGCCUAGUUUUUAUAUACUUUGUGAACAAUCUCAUCCACUAUAUCUGAAUGUCAUAGUAAUAAUGUGAACAUCGCCACCUUCUGGGUGCUCUAGCUCAGAAUACACAAUUUUCAACAUUAAAUGUUCUUCCAGACUGGAUCAUCAUUUGGCCGCAAAAUGAUGACCGGCUACCUGUCAUCAAGAAAUGUCAAGGCUUGUGAGGGGUCCGUGUAUAUUUUGGUAAUUGGGUUUUCCGUUCUAAAGCAGGUAUUGAAAAACAAAAAACGAAUGGUUAUUUGAUUUUCGUUUUCAAAGGCAAAAAUUAAAAUUGAAAUACAAGGCGUUUUUCCUUUUCACGAUCAAAAAUGGAUAUACGAAUUUUUAAAAAUGCUUUGAUUUUCAUUUUUUAUUUACAAAAACAAAAAAUAAAAUAAGUCAGAGACAGAAACGAAAUAAGAACCGUUUUUCAUUUUCUGAGACCGGAAGUGGUCAUCAGCAAGGGUGGUCAGAUUGAAUCAGAGCCGAGGACUCUCUGUCCCGCCCACAUUUACCGGCUUCUGCUGUUUACGGACGCUGCCACCGCUGCUGCUAACAACGUUAGCUUCCAAAAGUGGAGAUAAACUCUACAGCCUUGGUCUGGAUCAUUGGGAACAUCUGAUCUGAUGGACUGAGAGCUACAGAGAACAUGAACAUCCAGCUGUGGUUGUCUGAACAGUCUUCUCUCCAUCACUGUGAGGAAGAGCAGCACUGAUGUCCUCCUCAUGCUUCCAUUAAGAACAAUGAUGCUGCAGAUUAAGCUCCUCUCUUCAUAAUACUUGUCUUGUGACUGUUCAGUUUUUACAUUUCACUGUCAGCAACACAUUAUUUAUUUCAUCCAUUUAUUACGUGUUUACACAUCUUUACAGUUCACAAUUGUUAAAUAAUGCAGUUUUUAAAUGUGCAAUGAAGGAAAUAAUGAAGCUCUGGAGCUGAAUGUGUUGAUGUUUUAAUGCUGCGUAUCUGCUAUAAAUAACAUUGUACAGGGUUUCUGCAGAUAUCAACCAGUCAAAUUUAAUGCUUUUUAAUGCCAUUUUUAUGCUAUACUGUAAAAAUUUAAUGCCACGACCAUGAACUCAAAAUACACGGGUUUGGUUUUUUUUGUAAAAGAUGAUUUUUAUAUGAAAACCCUACAUUUGACUAUUUCUGAAUCUGGGAACCACCCCUGAACACCAACGGGCUGCAGUCAUUCUCUGAAAUCCAUGUUUUUGAGCCAUUUUUGCUGGAAUUUGUGUUUCCCCAUUUCCCAGCCUGGUCCAGCCUGCCAGCCACUUUAAAAACAUGCAGUUUUUAGAAAUUGUACCCACCCGGCUGGAACAAUUAUCUCAAUGCUUCGGCAUGUUUACACAGAUGCACAUACCUGACAAAUCGCAGUCUAUAAAUAUAUUAUUGUCAAUUAUUUUCUUGAAAACUGCAGAAAGAAAUUUUAAUGCCACCGAGAAUCAAAUUUAAUGAUUUUUAAUGCCAUUUAAAGCCUUAAUUUCUGCAAAAUCAACUUAAUGACUAUUAAUGUUCUGCAGAAACCCUGUUGUAUUUCUGCUACAGCAGCAGAGAUGAAGUUAAAGGUGAUAAAUAGAAUCUGUGAAUACUAAGAACAGAGAAUAAUAAACUGCUGAAAGAGUU